rnacentral:rRNA from 1 species
ACUCCUACGGGAGGCAGCAGUGGGGAAUUUUGGACAAUGGGGGCAACCCUGAUCCAGCAAUGCCGCGUGAGUGAAGAAGGCCUUCGGGUUGUAAAGCUCUUUUGUCAGGGAAGAAACGGUGCGAGCUAAUAUCUCGUGCUAAUGACGGUACCUGAAGAAUAAGCACCGGCUAACUACGUGCCAGCAGCCGCGGUAAUACG